AGAGCGAACGCUGGCGGCAUGCUUAACACAUGCAAGUCGCACGGGCAGCAAUGUCAGUGGCGGACGGGUGAGUAACGCGUAGGUAUCUAUCCUUGGGUGGGGGACAACUGUGGGAAACUACAGCUAAUACCGCAUAACAACUGAGGUUCAAAGGCGCAAGUCGCCUGAGGAGGAGCCUGCGUACGAUUAGCUAGUUGGUGGGGUAAAGGCCUACCAAGGCGACGAUCGUUAGCUGGUCUGAGAGGAUGAUCAGCCACAUUGGGACUGAGACACGGCCCAAACUCCUACGGGAGGCAGCAGUGGGGAAUAUUGGACAAUGGGCGAAAGCCUGAUCCAGCAAUGCCGCGUGUGUGAAGAAGGUCUUCGGAUUGUAAAGCACUUUCGACGGGGACGAUGAUGACGGUACCCGUAGAAGAAGCCCCGGCUAACUUCGCGCCAGCAGCCGC
rnacentral:rRNA from 1 species